rnacentral:lncRNA from 1 species
CGCCGUUAGAGGAGGUGUUCCUAUGGGCGGGGGGGAGCGCUCUGCCCUGCCUGCUCGCCCUGCCGCGCUAACUGCCGCGCCACUCCCCUCUGCCGCACCACGCUCUGCUUGCCCGUCCUAAUCGCCGCGCUCCCUAGGGGCAGCUUUUGAACGGCCGGGGAGGGGGCGCUGCUGGCUCCGCCUACGCCUCGUUCUCGCCUCGUUCACCUCCCUCACGAGGGCUGCCUCGAGUGGGCUCGGUGCCCUGGCUGUCCGAUCCCCCACCCCUCUGCAGAACGCGUUUGUCCCGGAGCCGAUCGCCUCGGCAAGUAGUUACAAAAGAUGAUCAGUGCUGUGACCACUUCAGAAGAGGAGAAGAAGAAGGAGAAAGAGGAAAAGCUCCAUGGAAAAACAGAUAUUCCCUGCAGCCCACAGAGGACCAGUGCUAGAGCAAAGGAAAUAAGGAAGGAACACAGAGAGGAACCACUGAGAGCUGACCACAAGUCCUGCGCUGCCUGUGGCCUCUCUGAAUGGACUGAGCAUUACCUGCAGUGACAACAAGAUGAAAAAGGGGAAUUUGGAGUGAAGUUGAGUCUAUGAAAAGGGGAGGAAUCAUGUAUUCCAUGCAUGUGUAAAUGUUUCUUCUUCUUUUUUUUUUUUUUUGUUUUUUGUUUCCUUAUACCCAGUUCAGUAAUUAUAUUAAAUGACAAUAAAUUAAUUUUAUUUUUCCCAUAUCCAGUCUUGUUUUGCCCAAGAUGGUAAUUGGUAAGCAAUCUCCCUGUCUCUGUCUCAACCCAUGAGCCUCCUCAUUCUUCUUCCUAUAUUGUCCCCUGUCCUGGUGAGGCAGAAGGUGGAACAAGUGACAUGAUAGAAGUUUUGCUGACACCCUGCACCAACCCACCAGAAAAAGUCAACAUAGAUUUGUUAUUUGUAGGUUUGUGCCUGGUGUGCUUCACAAAUAAGCACAGAUAGUUGGCAUCAACAUGAAGAUCUUUUAAUGAAAUAAUUCAAUAAUUCUGCAGAAUAUGGUGCUUGGUGAUCUUUCGCAAAGCAAGCACACCUCUGACUUGAAUCACCAUUAUUUAUACACAGCUAACUUGUGAAACUCUCGCUCUGGCUACUUUUGAUUGGUUGUUUGAGCUCACCUAACUUAUCUUCAGAGAGUGUGCGUUACAGAGUACCAGUGAAGGGGGAACACAAAAUCCCAUAUUUGAAUAUAUUAACAUAUUAUAAAACACACCCAUCAGACUCAUGGACAAAAAUGUUCUAGUAGUAUGCAGAAAAAAAAGUGUUAGCAAAAUACAGAUAUUGCUGUGAAGAAUGUGGGUGAAUAAACUCAAAAAUAUCCUUGUGUGUUGGAAAACACAAAAUCAAAUACCUGGGUGCCAGAUGUUUGUGUAGCUGCGAACUCCAUCUGU